GGGGGAUUUGGGGACAUUUGGGUGCCACUGGGUGAUGGUGGGCGCCCUUGGGUGCCACUGGGUGCCACUGGGUGCCCUUGGGUGCCACUGGGUGCCAUUGGGUGCCACUGGGUGCCACUGGGUACCAUUGGGUGCCACUGGGUGCCCUUGAGGUGCCCUUGGGUGCCAUUGGGUGCUAUUGGGUGUCACUGGGAGCCAUUGGAUGCCACUGGGUGCCCUUGGGUGCUAUUGGGUGCCACUGGGUGCCACUGGGUGCCAUUGUCUGCCAUUGUCUGCCAUUGGGUGCCCUUGGGCACCCUUGGGUGCUAUUGGGUGCCACUGAGAUACCACUGGGUGCCACUGGGAGCCAUUGGGUGCCACUGGGUGCCCUUGGGUGCCACUGGGUGCCACUGGGUGCCCUUGGGCGCCCUUGGGUGCCGUUGAGCACCCUUGGGUGACGCGUUGUCCCCGUGCCGGGCAGGCUUUGCCCGCUCGUUUGGCCAGGUGCUGCCGGGGGGGCAGCGGCGCGAGUGGGUGAAGCCGAUCAUGUUCAGCGGCGGCGUCGGCGCCAUCGAGGAGCGGCACGUGCACAAGGAGACCCCGCAGCCCGGUACCGCGCCCCAUAGCGACCCAUAGCGACCCAUAGCGACCCAUAGCCACCCAUAGCCACCCAUAGUGACCCAUAGAGACCCAUAGCCACCCAUAGCGAGACCCACAGCGACCCAUAGCGACCCAUAGCGACCCGUAGCGACCCAUAGCCACCCAUAGCGACCCAUAGCGACCCAUAGCCACCCAUAGUGACCCAUAGAGACCCAUAGCGACCCAUAGCGACCCAUAGCGCAACCCAUAGUGAUCCAUAGAGACCCAUAGCGACCCAUAGUGACCCAUAGCACGACCCAUAGUGACCCAUAGAGACCCAUAGUGACCCAUAGUGACCCAUAGCACGACCCAUAGCGACCCACUGCGACCCAUAGCGAAACAUAGCGACCCAUAGUGACCCAUAGCGAGACCCAUAGUGACUCAUAGAGACCCAUAGCGACCCAUAGUGACCCAUAGUGACCCAUAGCCACCCAUAGCGACCCAUAGCGAGACCCAUAGCGAGACCCAUAGUGACCCAUAGCCACCCAUAGCCACCCAUAGCCACCCAUAGCCACCCAUAGCGACCCAUAGCGACCCACUGCGACCCAUAGCGACCCAUAGCGACCCAUAGCGAGACCCAUAGCGACACAUAGCGACCCAUAGUGACCCAUAGUGACCCAUAGAGACCCAUAGCGACCCAUAGAGACCCAUAGCAAGACCCUUAGCGACCCAUAGCGACCCAUAGCGACCCACUGCGACCCAGAGCGACCCAUAGCAACCCCUAGCGACCCAUAGCGACCCAUAGUGACCCAUAGCGAGACCCAUAGCGACACAUAGUGCCACCCAUAGCGACCCAUAGCCACCC
rnacentral:lncRNA from 1 species